rnacentral:rRNA from 1 species
UNGGAGAGGAAAGUGGAAUUCCUAGUGUAGCGGUGAAAUGCGUAGAUAUUAGGAAGAACACCAGUGGCGAAGGCGACUUUCUGGACGAAAACUGACGCUGAGGCGCGAAAGCCAGGGGAGCGAACGGGAUUAGAUACCCCGGUAGUCCUGGCCGUAAACGAUGGGUACUAGGCGUAGGAGGUAUCGACCCCUUCUGUGCCGGAGUUAACGCAAUAAGUACCCCGCCUGGGGAGUACGACCGCAAGGUUGAAACUCAAAGGAAUUGACGGGGGCCCGCACAAGCGGUGGAGUAUGUGGUUUAAUUCGACGCAACGCGAAGAACCUUACCAGGUCUUGACAUUGAUGGACAGAACUAGAGAUAGUUCCUCUUCUUCGGAAGCCAGAAAACAGGUGGUGCACGGUUGUCGUCAGCUCGUGUCGUGAGAUGUUGGGUUANNNNNNNCAACGAGCGCAACCCCUAUCUUAUGUUGCCAGCACUUCGGGUGGGAACUCAUGAGAGACUGCCGCAGACAAUGCGGAGGAAGGCGGGGAUGACGUCAAAUCAUCGUGCCCCUUAUGACCUGGGCUACACACGUACUACAAUGGGAGUUAAUAGACGGAAGCGAAACCGCGAGGUGGAGCAAACCCGAGAAACACUCUCUCAGUUCGGAUCGUAGGCUGCAACUCGCCUACGUGAAGUCGGAAUCGCUAGUAAUCGCAGGUCAGCAUACUGCGGUGAAUACGUUCCCGGGCCUU